UAACUUGACAUAAAUAAAUCAGUUAGUUUCAAAGUAACGUUUUAAGAAGGUAUCACGCAAAAUGAAAUAAAAUUCAAGAAGUCGAUAAUAUCAACAAAAUGUAUAUUAAUUAGCUAACUUACCAGUCAAACUAUAAAACUACCAUUUUUUUUUGUUACAUUUUUCUUUAAACUCCUCACUUUGUUUCACACCAUUUUCUCUUAUACUUCCGAGGCCAAGGUCAGAACUUUCGGCAUCUACAGAAGAAAAUAAGUGUUUGUCAAAAUGCUUGAGUGAGUGUUUGAUUAUAUGGUUUCGUACCGUGGUUCGCGAGCAUAAGUGAAUUCGGAUUGCCUCUUCCGAAUCAACAAAAGAGGCCUUCUCCCAAACGAUCCAAGCAAAAGUGUUUUUGGUUUCGGAUAGUUGAAGCCGACUUAUGAAUUUUUCCAAGCCUUCAUACCUAUAACAAAUGAAGGUUGGUUUAUUCAAUGUGAGUAUACAAAUCAUUUGAAAACAGGAAAUUAUAACUCUGGUUAUAAUUAUAUUUAGAAGAGCUAUUCUUCAAGCUUCUAAGUAAAUUACUGUCCCAUUUUUCAAUCACAAAAAUCCCUAAGCAAUCAACUUUAGUUGGAAGCUCUCUCAGGGUAGAACCCACCUAAAAUCUUAAACGGUGAAAGAGUGUCACUCUUGAUAAACACUUUUUAAUGUGGCACUUUAAAACUGGAUGCAGAUUGUAACAAUCUAGAAAGCUGGUUGAGGAACAACGCUUUUUUGAUGCGGCAGAGUGGGUGAUAUACUGAGCAGUGACAUCUCCGACAGCCCAAAGGGCGGCAGAAGUGAUGACUUGGGUCUUCACCGGAUGAACAGAGAGGCUGUUCUGAUACCAAUUCCAGAACUUCAACAUCAUCAUCUAUUCUAUUCUAUUAAAGGGUUGGUUGGUUAAACUCUCCCCAACGAUGAUAAACAAACAUUCAACAAUUUUGCAUUUUGCCUUUACCUUUAUCCAAAUUAAAUUAAAGGUUAAAUAUGUUUUUGUUCCAUGUAAUUUUUUAAAAUUUCGUUUCAAGCCUGAAGUUUACUUGAAACUGGACUGAUAUGUCAUAUGUGCAAUCCACUACCAUUAUUUGUUUCA